UAUGGGUAUAAAUAACUAUAUCCAUAAAUAGUUAUGGGUGUUUUAUAUAUAGUUAUUAUUCAUAAAGUGAUUGUUGUUUAUGUGAAGGUCGUUCAUAACGUUAUAAUGGCUGUCCAUGUCUAAAUAGUUGGACAUGAUCAUUUUAUUUUUAAGAUAAUUUUAUAAAAAUUGAGUAUUUUCAGUAUUAUAUCCAUGUGCCAAAAGUUUUUAUUUUUAGUACUUGAACACGUGAAAAUGUUUGAGUUUGUAUAAACUUUGUUUUAAAAGUGGCAAUUCUAGUACUAUGUAUUAUGUAAUUAGAUUAUUCUCAUUCAAUGAAUGUACACUUCAAAUAUUAUAUUUAUUCGCAUCUUUAAGAUGGAAUAUCAAGAUCGUUCUAAGAUCUUUCUCAGUAAGAUUAACUUGCUUGUUUAAAUAAUCAAAAUUUUUCUCAUGAUUUUUUGUACUUUAUUAGAAUUAGUUUGCUUUUUUAUUCCAUUUUUGUAUUUUUCUCUCUUAUGCAUAGCAAUAAACAAAACUUUUAAAAAUAAUAGAACCUAUAUUAUUAACUAUUGUUCUCUGGAUUCAAUAGUGAUUAACAGAUUAGCAGGAGUAUUAUUAAACCCUGUAUUUCAUUGGAUCAAUUCACGCUGAAAAUCAAAAAUACUAUUCACAAUUUGUUACUAUUGCUAGUCCCAGAUUCCUCAUAACCAAAUAUUAGUUCCUAAUAUUAUUUUUAAGUUGAAUUAUUCUUAAAGUAAGAUUCUUAAUGUAAUUCAUUAUUUGAGGUACCGUAGCGAUAAAGCACAAUGUUUUUUAUCCUGGAAUGAAAUAAAAUAAUUUGACAAAUCUACUGAGCUAAAUACGUAAUACUGUACAAGCAAUAAAGUUUCACAUUAAGAGAAGUAGUAAUUGUUCAUUAUGAAACAGUUUACUCAAUCAGUUAGAAUUAAUCUUGUUUCUCGUUGUUGUAAUUUAUAGAGAAUCAAUCUUGUUUCUCGUUGUUGUAAUUUAUAGCGAUUUAUUCAUCUAAAAACUUUUAAGAAGUGAAUCUAUUUAUGAAUAACUUACCUAGAAGAAUGGUUUACGGCCUUACAAACUUUUCAAUACUAUCCAUCAAAAUACAUAAAUGCUCAAUUUCAAUUAAAUGUAAUUUUCAAGUGAGUGUAAGUUGAAGCUCUGUUAAACCAUACAGUUAGCCAGCGUUUUAAAAUAUUUGACUUGUGCUUUUCCGAUGUGAAGAUGGACUGUUGAUAAAAAGGCUGUUUUUUGAGAUAAUAGUUAUAAGUAUAAGUAUUUAAUAGUUAUAAGUAUUUUUGUAAUUUCAUAUUAUCUACCAUUCCAAUUGGACUUUAUACGUGUUUUGUAAAAUCUAGUGAGAGUUGUCCAUUAAAUAUCUAUUGAAGUGCA